UGGGGAAUAUUGGACAAUGGAGGAAACUCUGAUCCAGCAAUUCUGUGUGUGUGAAGAAGGUUUUAGGACUGUAAAACACUUUUAGUAGGGAAGAAAAAAAUGACGGUACCUACAGAAGAAGCAACGGCUAAAUACGUGCCAGCAGCCGCGGUAAUACGGAAGGUCCAGGCGUUAUCCGGAUUUAUUGGGUUUAAAGGGAGUGUAGGCGGUUGGUUAAGCGUGUUGUGAAAUGUAGAUGCUCAACAUCUGACUUGCAGCGCGAACUGGCUGACUUGAGUACACACAACGUAGGCGGAAUUCAUGGUGUAGCGGUGAAAUGCUUAGAUAUCAUGAAGAACUCCGAUUGCGAAGGCAGCUUACGGGAGUGUUACUGACGCUUAAGCUCGAAGGUGCGGGUAUCGAACAGG
rnacentral:rRNA from 1 species